CCUACGGGCGGCAGCAGUGAGGAAUAUUGGUCAAUGGACGCAAGUCUGAACCAGCCAUGCCGCGUGCAGGAAGACGGCUCUAUGAGUUGUAAACUGCUUUUGUACGAGGGUAAACGCAGAUACGUGUAUCUGUCUGAAAGUAUCGUACGAAUAAGGAGCGGCUAACUCCGUGCCAGCAGCAGCGGCAAUACGGAGGAUGCAAGCGUUAUCCGGAUUUGUUGGGUGUAAAGGGUGCGUAGGCGGUCGGAUAAGUUAGAGGUGAAAGCCCGAGGCUCAACUUCGGAAUUGCCUUUGAUACUGUGUGGCUAGAGAGUAGUUGCGGUAGGCAGAAUGUAUGGUGUAGCGGUGAAAUGCUUAGAGAU
rnacentral:rRNA from 1 species